rnacentral:lncRNA from 1 species
AUUAAUAUUGUUAACUCCGGUCGGUUCUUGAUCAGAUCAAUACGUGAUUUACAAUUCCGUUAAAUCUUAGAAAGCAUUUCAUGAUCAAUCGAAAUUUACUAAUUCCAUUUUCUUUCUUGCUGUGAUGCAGUGAAGCAGAGACCAGUUCCUCCCUCCUCUGCCUUGAUCAAGGUUAGCACUAGUUCCAUGUCCCUGCUUGAUUUCAUUUCAGUUUUCUGAUACAGUAGAGUAAUAAUUGGUUAUGAAGGCCCAUAAUUGAUCCUAGAACCUUAAAUUUCUCUGCUUGAUACUGUUUAGGUAUAAAACUAGCCUUAAUUGAAAUACCAGUUCUCUUUGUAUAUGAUACAGCACUGUAGGUAAGGAUAAAUAGAUUCCCUGUUUUUCAUUUUUCUAUUUAUGCUCAGUUCAAUGGGUAUAGACCUACCGUUGUCAUUGAAGCACAAGAAUAGUUGCAUUGCUUAUUCUCAGUUCCCUGUGUAUGAUGCAUUAUGUAUCUGAUUUAUGUUUAAGAAUAGUUAUGUAGCUUAUGCCUCAAGGUUUUUGAUAGGAUCAUAAUUACAUCAGAAUUUCAGACUGCUAAAAGUUCAGAAUAUACAAAUCUAUCAAACGAAUACACCAGAAAAUGAGAAAAUAUAGGGUAAUGCUCAAGAAUAACACGAUAUUCUGAUUUAGUACGAGUUGUUUAGUUGAAGUACAGAAUAAUGCAUAACUGAGAGAUCUGUUGUUGUUUAUCAGAGUUUCAGACACUUCUAUGUAAUUUACGUAUAUGUUUAGGGCGACAUUUGUGAAAAAUCAGAAAGACGAUUUUGCUGUAAGAGAUAGAAACAAAUUAAACAAACCUCUUACUGAUAAGAUGUACACUUACUCAACCAGAUUAUAAUCAGUCACCACACAAUUCUGAUUAGAAAGUAUAAUACAAGGGACAGCAGAACAAAGUGAAUAUUGGUCUUGAACUUCCAAAAUACAUUUUUCAUCAAACACCUAUAUAGACAAAGCAGCACUGUAUGUAUGGUUAAUAUGACCAAGGUCUCUGUUCCCUCCUCUUUUGUGUACGUUUAGCCAGCCUUCUCCUCCUGUUGAAUGUAUCUACAAACCAGUCAUGCUUCUUGGCUGUCCAAAAGUUUCCCCCAACCACUCCAACUAUAAGACCAGUAAUAACUCCCGGCAGAACCACAAACCAAUCUAGCUCAAUUUGAAAUCCAGAGUCUUCAUCUUCUUCAAGGGUUGUUUGUGGUGUUGCGCUCUCAGAAUCUCCACAUUUCUUUGACAAAGGUUUUCCGCACAAUCCUGGGUUUCCUUGGUACAUAUCUUCUUGGAAUGUAUCAAACUGAGGACUUUGUGGGAUUGCACCAUAAAGACCAUUGUGGGAUACAUUGAAGUAUGAAAGGAAUGUCAGUUGUGCUAGACUGGUGGGGAUCUUUCCUGAGAGCUGAUUUUGGGAGAGAUCCAACGAUUCAAGAGCAGUCAAGUUCCACAAAGACGAGGGGAUGGGACCAGUGAGAGUGUUGUUGGAAAGAUUGAGCAAAAGAAGCGCUCUUAGAUUCCCAAUGAUAACAGGAAUCUCUCCUUCAAAUUUGUUACUUGAGAGGUCUAUGAGUCUUAGAAGAUAAGGGGUCUUCAUAUACUUCAAUUCAACACCUUUGCUGAAAACUGUAAUCGGGUAAUCAUAGUGGAAUAUGUCUGGGUACAUCCCGAAGAUGAUAGCGGAUUGGAUGUAAAUUUGCUCGUUUUCAUCAACAGAUUUCAUGGCAUUCCAAUUCUCUAUGUAGUCGGAGGGUAGACUUCCUGAAAAAUCAUUGCUAGAUAAAUCAACAAUGGACAGCUCAGGGAACUCAUGGCUACUUGCAGGCUUUCCAAUUGUGCCAUGAAAUGCAUUCGACUGCAAAAUCAGAACUUUUAACUGUUGAAGUGUUCCUAGCCAAGAUGGAAAGGUAUCGAUGAUCUGAUUAUUUCCCAGAUUAAGAAACAUCAACUGAGGACAACUGGCAAUUGAUCUUGGUAGCUUCCCCUGUAGCUGAUUAUAACUCAAGUCAAUAGCUGCUAACUCCAUACUUGUGUUUAAACAUAUUUGAGGAAUAUCCCCGUGAAAAGAAUUGUUCCUCAGUUUCAAUAUCUGAAGAGCCCCGAGAUUCUGAAAACAUUUUGGAAUCAUGCCCUUCAGUUUGUUGUUAGACAAAUCAAGAAUAGUUAGGGUCCCUGUGUUGCAGAAUUUUUCUGGAAUUUCUCCUGCAUAUUCAUUGUUUGAAACAGAAUAGACUGCCAUUGAUGAUGCUGGUAUUGGCAGUGAUCCUCGUAACAUGUUAGAGUCAAGCACUAAUGAGCUUAACCGAUGCCAUGGAAUAAUGACUGGAUUUUCUUCAUAUCCAGUUAAGUGGUUGUGAGAGAGGUUGAGAAACAACAAAGUUUCACUAGUUGAGUUCCACAGCCAUUUUGGUAUUUGGCCUCGAAGAUUGUUGUCAGAUAGAUCAAGAUGCAUCAGUUCACUAGUGUAUUUCAAAAAUUCUGGAAACUCUGUUAAGUUGCAUGAACUCAGUUCCAGUAAGUUGAGCUUAGGAGGAAUAGCUCUAAAUCCAGUUUUGAUCUGCACUGAUAACUUGUUGAGCGACAAGCGAAGUCCCCUCAAAUUUUGGAGCUUGGAAAUCUCAUCGAAUUCAAGGUAUCCACUCAAGUUAUUUGAGUUGAGGAAAAUAUAUUCAAGACUUUUAAGCUGGAACACUGACCUGGGAAUUGCACCUUGAAUAUUGUUGAAUCGUAGGUCUAACAAAGUUAAUUGAGUCAACUGCACAAGGCAAGAUGGUAUUUCACCAGUUAUUUGAUUGUAGCCCAAUCGUAAUUUUGUAAGUUGUGUCAGAUUUGCCAAAAGACAUGGGAUUUCACCACUUAUUUGAUUCUGGCUCAAGUCUAAUACCAAAAGUUGAGUCAGAUUAGCCAAAGAAUAUGGCAUAUGCAGAUCAAGCAUAGACAGUUUGGAUAGAAAUGAAACCUCUGAUGGAAUGUGCCCAGAAAAUGAAGACAUUGAAAGGUUGAGAUAUGUAAGACUAGUAAGAUCAUGGCCUAAUCUGGAUGGUACUUGAGAGUAGCUGAAGUUGUUGUCAGAGAGGUCAAGCCUCUGCAAGUGAACAAGUUGAAAAAGGCUGCUAUUGGAAUCGAUGGAACCAUGAAGAUAACUGCUGGCAAGGUCAAGGCUAAUGACAUGGCCAGAGUCGUUGUUGCAUUCAACACCAUCCCAUGAACAACAAUUACUGCUUUGAGGAUUUCUUUCUAGACUACCCCAAGAUUCAACUUUCGGAUAAGCAAAGGGAUCUUGGGAAGCAGACAUGUCUAUAGUGAAACUAGCUUUGAACUGCAACAACGCAGAGCGUUCGUCAUCGUGGCAAAGUGUUUGCGUCUGUACAAAAGAAAACCAGCAUGAAAAAUUAAUGAGCAACAAGAGUAUAAAUUGAUGUACCAAAAAGAAGUCGAACCAGGAUGAUCCCAUUCCCAUUCCUAUGAAAUUUUCUAUUUUCUUAGUACAUGUGUAUGUAGGUUUGUGGGUUGCAUAUAACUAAGAAGUUAAACUCCUUGAUGGACAAAGCACAGAGCUUCUAUCAUGAGCUAGGAGUUUGGUACGUUUCCCUAUAUUUAUGUUGCUAGUGUGCCUAACUUGUUGCUUCUUGGUCAUGUCUGGUGUGCGUUGGCUUAGCAUCUCAGAAGAUCAGCUAGAAUAUCUUUGGCAUAAUAUAUUAUAUUUGCUAAUAUGUAACUUCUUCUGUUUGGUCACUUGGUAGUUUGGAUGGAAAGGUACCUUCUGUUUCUUAGUUCCUCCUUCAUUGUUAAAGUCUAACUCCAUCCAAAACAGCAUCUCCCAACGGUAAUGAGAGAAAAGCUAUAAUGGUAAUUCUGAGAAGCAUAAGUUUGUGUAAAUGUUCCUUCAUUAUUUGAUUAUAUGAGUUAGACGUAGCUCUCGAGAGAUGAAAUCAUACAAUAUUAUAUGGUGCUUGUGUUCAUCAUGUUCAUAUUCGACAAAUUAUAGCUAAACGGAUGCCAUUACUUUAUCCUAUCGCUUUCUUAUUUACAAUGCUGCUAAUUAUUGUUUCAAUUACAUAAUGGAUGAGGACUGUGUGGUCGCUAUAGAUAUACCUGCCAUGGAUAGAGACUUUAGGAUGUACUGUUGUUUGUUGCCUCUGUUUGUCCUUGUUGCUGAUUUUCACAGUUCCAUUUGGUCUUGGCCCUUGUGGCUCUUGAUGCAAGCUUAAUGGACAAGCAAGAAGAGAGAUGUGUGGGCUGUGAAGAAAGGGGCCCCACAUGAAACAAAGUCCAGUCAGAGGCCCAAAGUCUAUCAAUUGGAGAAAUUCAUGUUUGUCAGGUAAUAAAUCCGAGUUAAUUCUUGAUCAGAUCAAAACGUGAUUUACAAGUGCGUUAAUCUGGAAACCUUUUUGAAAUCAAUCAAAUUUUACUGAUUUCUUUUUCUUUCUUGCUUGAUGUAGUGAAGCAGAGACAGAGCUCAUUGAUAUAUUGUGCACCACUACCUUCUUCCUCUGCCUUGAUCAAGGUUAGUACUAUUCCCAUGUUCCUGCUUGAUUUCAUUUCAGUAGUAAAAAAAUUGGUUAUAAAGGCCCAAAAUUGAUCCUGAAAAAUGAAAUUUCUUUAUUGAAAUCCCAGUUCUACUUGUGUAUGAUACAGAACAGAAGCUAAGAACGAAUAGAUUCCCAUUUCUUCACUUUUUUAUUUAUGCUCAAUUUGAAGGGAAUAGACCUAUUAUUGCUCAAUGAGGUACAUGUGUACGUCCCAAACUCUAAAUGCGGAUAGUAGCUAGAUAGCUUCAUCCUCAAGGUUAGUGACAGGAUGUGUAUACAACAUUAAAGUACACCAGACUAUCAGUCUGCGAAAAAUUCAAAAUAUACAAACUUGACUAACAAACAAAUGCACCAGAAUAUUUAAGAUAUCGGAUGUAGUUGAAGUACUAGAUAGGGAUUUUUCAGGCAGUGUUCUUCUUGUUGUUUUAGACACCUCUGUGCAUUAUUUUUAGGUUAGGCCAACAUUUCCAAUGAGUGAAAAUUGGAAACACAGAUAUGCAGUGAGACUUGGAAACUAGACACCUCUUACGUACCUUAAAUCUUAGAUAUAUGAACAAUAAGUACUCAAGACUGUGUUAAGUGUUAACACAUAAUCAAGUCUCCACACAAUUACUCCAUAUACAAUACGUCUUUUUAUAUAAUGAUAGUGAAGGUCUACAUAAGCUGGAUCCUUUGAAGUUUACAUUCUAGACAUCAUUCUUGAUGGAGGAGCUGUAUCCAUCGAGAUCAUCAUAAUACUUGGACCAAAGCAUGACACCUCCAUAUUUUGCUGAAUUUUUGAUAGCCGGAAGGACUUGUGAGUUAAGAUCAGUCGCUGGAAUAAAUCCACUACCAGCAGCUUGGGGUGCGGCAGGAAGUCCUAAGAAAAUCUUAUGUGCAGGAAUGGCAGUAGUCCAUUGCUUCCAACCAUUUUCUAGGUUUGAAAUAUCUCCAGAAGUGUACUGGCAAGGAGGGUUGUUGUAGAAUUGCACCCAAACAAAGUCGAAGAGGCCUGUGUUGAGUGCAUUUCCAACAUAAGCAUCAGGAAA